AGAAAAAAAGAGAACGAGGAAGAAAAAAAAAAGGAGAGGAAGAAAGGAAAUCGCAGCCAUACGGGCUGCGCUCCCCCGGCUGAACUGUAUCUGCGAUUUUAACGGUGAAGGGGAAGAGACGCUAUGUGGCCGAGGUGCUCCUCCCUCCACCCUGCCUCAUCUGUCAGCCAUUAGUUAAUCAGGGCUUCCACGACGGAGCACGGAGAGCUGGCACAACGCGUGGGACCGGAGGACAGCUUCACCUCUGAGAGCACGGGGAGGGCAAGGACUCGGGGACCUCUGCUCCGCCGGUCCACAGCUGGGCCGCCUCGCUCAGCAGCACCCACUCAGGACUGGCAGGCGGCAACCUCGAGCUGACCCCACCCACUGCCUCACUGUGAACAGCUUCCUUAGUGUCACUGUGUUCUCUGGCGGGUACAUGAGACUGCAGAUCAGAGGAGGAGGACACACAGGCGUGGAACGUUCAGGCUGCUCGUCCGUUCGGGGCCUUGUUUUUUCCAAGAAGUCAAAACAACACAUGUUGUCAGCAUGGGAACAGCUGGUAAGAGCGGCGUCAUGGGGCAGAGGAAUGUCAAAAGUCAUAGAUCUUUUUAUCCAUCAGGCGUUUGUAAAGCCACGCACAUGGGGCUGCGGUGUGAAAAACCUGCAUUAAUGUCUGCCUCUCAUCUCACAACCAACCCUCACCAGACAUUUUGAACAAUAGAAAUCAUAGGGUGAAUAUAUAAAAGGACGAGGAUAUGCAAAUGCGGCGUUUCCAAAUGCAAAACAGGCAUAUUUUUUGGCAUAUAUAACAGCUAAUGAUGAAUUUCAGAUGGGACAAGUUGACACAGCCAUAUAAUUAAUCCCAAGAUGUAGCUGAUUAAAUGAUGUGGAAAUAUUUUUCCUUCCUGUAUCUGCCAGUGUGCUUGUGAUUGGCUAAGACUAAACAGCACUCCAUGCCAAAGUAUGACUUUGCCAUUUCCAAAGAGUUAAAUAAACACCUGGUUGACAAGUCAUAUACAGUUUCUUCUACAACAGUUUCCUUUUUAAGUCAACACCACUCAGAAAGGAUACACCAAGCAACCAUAAGUCAAAACGAGAUGACAAAACAGGAGUUUUUCCGUUUGUCUAAACAUUCCACUCAGAGCUUUUUCCAUUACCAUGUUAUUACUGAAACAUCCGGCCGUGCUCAUAUGAAUACUACGCUGCAGAUGGGCAAAGAAAUGAGGAAUAAUGAAAUUCCUGAUGACAGAACUUGAAAAAUACAAACAGCAGACCAGCCGUGAAGUUAUAAAGUGGUGACCUUUGACACAACACAUCCAAGUCCAACUCCCUCUUCCUGCUGAAUGUUACACAGCUGCUUUUCUAAUCUGUCAUAGCAGCCAGUUUGCCACAGCUUGCAAACAGGGAAGUAUGCAAAAGCUCAGAGCAGUGGAAGGUCCCAACCUCGCAUUUACGUUUAACAAAAACAAGUGAUGCAAGAGAAGGAGAAUAACCUACGUUAGUUUUACAGUGUUUUUUUUGUGUAAAAAAAAAAGGAAAUGGAGGAAAGUAUCCACACCUGCUAUGUGCGUGUCUUUUUACCACAUAUCCACAAGAAGGACAUUACAUGUACCUUUGAUCACAGUAUCAUAGAGGUAUAGUAUUAAUAAGAACAUUGUAGAAGAUAUUCAUUUAAAAAAUGGUCUAAAGCAGCCACAAUUACCCGAUCAAUCAAUGGGUUGAUCACAACUAAACUUAUCUGAAACUUUUUGGACAAUUGAUUAAUGGUUUAAGUCAUUUUUUCAGUCUUAGUGAGGAUUUGCUACUUAAUCUUGUCUAACGUUAAAGUAAAAUUAACAUCAUUGAGUUUUAACCGUUCUGUCAGACAUAAAGCAAGACGUCACCUUGAACUCUGGAGGAGACAUUUUUCAUUUGAGAAGUUGCAGUUAUUAUAAUAUACAGUGCCCAAGUACGUUGAAUGUUGAUGUUUUUUUCUUCCGUAACAAGUGGAGAAGGGGCCACAGACAUAGUUCAGAUGAAUAGUGCAUCAGGCACUGGAAUCACCUCACAUCUGUGGACCAGUGGCCCUGCUCGCGCAGACGGUGAACAAGGAGAACCAGACCUGACAGGUAGCUGCAGUACCUCAAGUGAGAAGUCCAGAGAGUCAAACAGUACAAAGCGAGUACAGCCGGUUCUCUAACCAUCUACAGUCUAAAGCUAAAAACUUCAGUAAUGUACAGUUUUCCAUGGUAAAAACUUUUGGACGAGGAAUCAUUAUCUACCUGUUACUUAACAUGGGCCAAGACACCCACAUCUAUCACUGCCUCUCUCGUGACACAGAGACGACUGUUUGGAAGAGAUGUCGAGUCCAACAUUUCCCAUUUCACUCCAUCAGCUUGAUAGGACCAUGACCCCGUAAGGUAUGAGAGGGCGACCUCAUGUAAGACAAAUAUAUGUUUCACUGGAGUCUUAGAAGUGUCUCCUCGAGGCUUAAAAGCAAUUCUUAAUGUCCGACCGAUGAGUUGAGGAGAAGCAGACCCUCUCAACCUGUGUCAAAGUGAGGCCAUGUUCCCCAUCAUUGGAUGGGCUUGGGGUAGACCUCCCUAAAUGCUUCCAGACUUUCACGCCGUGUCUCCUCUCAUUUCGUCUGACUGCAUCUCUCCCAGCUCGGAUCACCCACAAAUUAACAUCUACCCUCGGUAGAAGGGCUCCACCCUUAAUGUCUUCCAUCGCCCAGAGCAAACGCACUGCGCUUCAGCGCCAACUCUUGUUUCUUUAGAUUGGGCUUUGCUCCUACAGGGACAGCAUUCACGUCAUGCAAGUGCUGGCAAAGAAAAUCUAUUUUACAAUGUGCAAUGUGUUAACUCUUCAUGUUAUCAAUCUGCUUGACCUACAACAGACUUCUAUCCCGAUGUGAAAGCCGAUGGUUUGACCAAAAAUCUGUAGGCCAGAGUGCUCGACUUUAAAAAUAAAACAUUAUCGCCCGACUCAGAUUUAAGUAUAAGCCAUGACAAGAUCCACGUCAAGGCGGAGCGGGGACGUGGGCGGGCUGGCCCCUUCAAGCCACCGCCUCAGUCGCUCACACUCGACUGGCAUGUGGGCAGGAUGAGGAAACACAAGCUCAAUGAUGUCAUGACCAACUGACCCCCAGGGUGACAGGUUCGGAGAACGUUCUACCCCCGGGCCAAAGUCAACUAUGUCAAUGUUGCGCAUGUGGAUUUCAUCCGAAGCAGCAUAAUUAGUUCACAGACGCUCACAACUGUGAUCCCCCUCCAUGGGAAACCCGCUCUUGACAGGAAACGGUAUGUUUUUGUUAGCAACAAACAGACAUAAAUUACUCAAGUGGUGCCUCGGUCGCCAAUUUAUCAAACAGAGACGUAUUGUUGUUCCUUGUGCACGUUUGACAUCGACAUGGCUUUUUAAGGUAAUGACCAUUACUUAAUGAUAUUUACAUUCUGGAGAGUUUAUGUUCAACUGUGUCUGCUGUUCUAAUUCUGUGCAAUAAAUGUGAUAAUUGUU